UACAUAUUGUUGUAAAAGCAAAGGCAAAUUAAGAAGAUGAUGAGAAAAGAAACUCUUCUGGUUGCUUUGACAUGGUUCCUGGUGGUUGCAUCCAUUACCAUGUGUGCAAAUGCAACAGCAGGUGCUCGUCUGCUCGCUUCCGAGCAAGUGGACUAUCCUCAAGGUUGUCGCUGCUGCUUCUUUAUCGGAAGGAUACCGUACAUGACAUGCGGAAAAAUGUGCUGCAGUAGUCCCGCAGGAGAGAAUUGUUGCAUCGCAACAUAGCAAAACAAUGAGGUUGUGGAUUUGGCAGCAUCUACGUGCUUGCUUACAUUGUCUUCUGUUGCAGACGAAAUAAAUUUACUAUAUGCUACAAAUAAUUUGAGGAAUAUUGGAGCAUCAUUCUGCUAGCUAGAUGCAGAAGUUCUUCACACUCUUCUUUUACCUUUCUGAAUGAGAGGCUCUAUCAUUUGUAACUUUACCUUUUUGUAAGAGUUUACCCUAGUAAUAAUGAAGACCUAAUGCAAGGUGAAUUUCCAA